CAUGGAAGGGCCAUCGCUCAACGGAUAAAAGCUACCCCGGGGAUAACAGGCUUAUCUCCCCCAAGAGUUCACAUCGACGGGGAGGUUUGGCACCUCGAUGUCGGCUCAUCGCAUCCUGGGGCUGUAGUCGGUCCCAAGGGUUGGGCUGUUCGCCCAUUAAAGCGGUACGCGAGCUGGGUUCAGAACGUCGUGAGACAGUUCGGUCCCUAUCCGUCGUGGGCGUAGGAAAUUUGAGAGGAGCUGUCCUUAGUACGAGAGGACCGGGAUGGACAUACCUCUGGUGUACCAGUUGUCGUGCCAACGGCAUAGCUGGGUAGCUAUGUGUGGACGGGAUAAGUGCUGAAAGCAUCUAAGCAUGAAGCCCCCCUCAAGAUGAGAUUUCCCAACUUCGGUUAUAAGAUCCCUCAAAGAUGAUGAGGUUAAUAGGUUCGAGGUGGAAGCAUGGUGACAUGUGGAGCUGACGAAUACUAAUCGAUCGAAGACUUAAUCAAAA
rnacentral:rRNA from 1 species